rnacentral:rRNA from 1 species
ACGGGAGGCAGCAGUGGGUAAUAUUGGGCAAUGGGCGAAAGCCUGACCCAGCAACGCCGCGUGAAGGAAGAAGGUCUUCGGAUUGUAAACUUCUUUUAUCAGGGACGAAGGAAGUGACGGUACCUGAUGAAUAAGCCACGGCUAACUACGUGCCAGCAGCCGCGGUAAUACGUAGGUGGCAAGCGUUAUCCGGAUUUACUGGGUGUAAAGGGCGCGUAGGCGGGGAUGCAAGUCAGAUGUGAAAUCCAUGGGCUUAACCCAUGAACUGCAUUUGAAACGGUAUCUCUUGAGUGUCGGAGAGGUAGAUGGAAUUCCUAGUGUAGCGGUGAAAUGCGUAGACAUUAGGAGGAACACCAGUGGCGAAGGCGAUCUACUGGACGAUAACUGACGCUGAGGCGCGAAAGCGUGGGGAGCAAACAGGAUGAGAUACC